rnacentral:lncRNA from 1 species
AAUAAAGUUUGAGAACCCCUGAGCUAGGUGGGGUUUACUGACUUUCUGUCAGUCAAGUCCUCCUAUUGCUACUCUGACUGCCAAAUUCCCCCCAUUCAAUGGCUCGUUCGCUGUUAUGAGGACUUACAAAGGUCCAUCAGCAUGUCUUGUCCAUCACUCUCACAAGACAAAUAGUCUGAGCCAUCAAUCCAUUUCACAGACUCAUCCUUUUUCUUGCUAUAGAGAUUCCCCCUACACCCUCAAAGACCUACUCUGACAUGAUUUUCCUUUUUUUGUAUGAUUGAUAGCAAGGGGCAUUCUGCCUCCAAAACAGACGAUGCUUUGAAGCCUUCCAGAAGAUCUAGUGUGGACGAGAAGGGUUAUCUAAAAUCACCACAGCUACAGAAGUCGAAGGAGACGCUUCACCAAAAGUAUCAUUCUGCCGAGAAUAAGGAAUUGGCCGUGGCUUCUCAGGACCAAGUCUCUCCUCAGGAAUUUCAGCAACUUUUUAGAUACGCGACGGAACUGGAGAAGCGACUAAACGAGGUUAAUGCAAAGCUGAGCAGAGUUCUGAAAGGCGUACCUGAUCUGAAAGGGUCUCCAGACAAGAAACAGAGAUAGUGAGAUAUAAGGGAUGGGCCCAUUUGUAAUCCCAGCUGCAGAGAGACAAAUUGCACAAAACAAAUCCUAUAUUCCAAAGCUUUCCAAGCAUGCUGGCAACUGGCUCUUCACAACUAGCUCUGAAAGAACAGACACUAGGGAAGAUGGAAGGCCAUUCAACUACACUGCUAAACUCUCAAAUGUCACGGAAAAAUAAAAAUCAGCUGAUCUGUAUGCCUGCUAAACGA